rnacentral:ncRNA from 1 species
UAGUGUGAACGAAAGAUGAAAAGAACUCUAAAACAGAGGGUGAAAAGUUCCUGAACUUGCUUAGGGUUAAGGCUAUUUAUAGUACCCGUCUUGAAACACGGAUUAGGGAGUUUAUCUGUAGUGCGAGUCUUUGCACGUUAACUGUAAAGGCGUAGAGAAAGCAACUGGCGUUUGCAUGGCUACUGAGCAUUACUGAUAGGACCCGAAAGGUGGUGAACUUUGCCUGCACAGGUUGAAGUCAGGGGAAACUCUGAUGGAGGACCGUACGGGUUAUUGAUGUGCAAAUCAUUUUUCUGAUGUAGGUAAAGGUGCGAAAGACUCAUCGAACCACCUAAUAGCUGGUUUCCUCCGAAGUUUCCCUCAGGAUAGCUGUAAUGCAUUUAGUUAAGGGGAGUAGAGAUAUGGGUAGAGGUGCAGGGAGCCUUCGGGUUCUCAACUUAUUUCCAAACUUCGAACCUCCUUGUUAGGCAUUUACCUAACUGGAAAUGCUUAAAUGAAUUAGCGUUACAAGUGGGCUCUGACCGGUAAGCGGUCAUGGCGAAAUGGGAUGAACCAUACGUCUGAAUAAGGUGCCGAAAUGUACUAUCACUGAUACCAUAAAGGGAGUCCAUGUAUUUAGACAGCAGGUCGGUGCCCCUAAAAGCAGGUAUCCGCUAAAGAGUGUGUUAAAACUCACCUGCCGAAUACUAGGGCCCCGAAAAUGAAUGGCGCAUAUAGUACUACCGAUCUCAGACAUCAGUUCUAUUGAACUGAGAGUAGGGGGAUGUGGACAUUUUUGUGAAGGUGCAAUGUGAGUUGGACUGGAAGAAUGUCUAUUACAGAUCCUAAUUGAAGUAGCGAUUAUCCAGGCUUGUAUCCUGGGGGCUGAUGAGGAGUAGGGUUUCUGGACAACUUAAACAGAUCCAGAGUUAGUCGAUCCUAAUCUCAAUAAUGGGAGAAAGGGAGUACAGUUGAUAUUCUGUAACUGACAACAGUUCGCGGCAACGCAUACUAUUUUUCUCCGCCAUCUUAUACCGUUGGUAGGGAUCUCUUUCCUACAUGACAGUACUAAUACCCAGGGAAACUGGUCAUCAG